GGCAAGAUAGCCGAGUUGGUUAUGGCGUGAGGUUGGGGUAUCAAUCUUAGCACAGUUUCCUCAUCGAGUAAUCAACGUGGGUAAGUUCCACUCUUGUCA